UGCAGUGAGCUAUGAUCACACCACUGCACUACAGCCUGGGUGAGAGAAACCCUGUCUCAAAAAAAAGAGGGGGGAAUUUGCACUGUAUUGUUAUUCUGCAGUGUGUGUUUUUUGCUAAUACAUCCCGGACACAUUUUCAACAUAGAAUUCAUGGGUCUCUUUUUAACAGUCGCAUGGUAUUCCACACCAAGGGUGUCCAAUCUUUUGGCUUCCCUUGGCCAUAUUGGAAGAAUGGUCUUGGGCCACACAUAAAAUAAAAUACGCUAUCGAUAGCUGAUGAGCUAAAAAAAAAUCAUUGUGAAAAUAUAUUUUAAGAAAGUUUACAAAUUUGUGUUGGGCCACAAAAGCCAUCCUGGGGUGCUUGCAGGCCACAGGUUGGACAAGCUUGUUCCACAGUCCAGACGGAUCACCACCCCCAGCCUCUUCCUUACGGAUGGACGUGCAGGUCAUGCCCAGUUCUUUGGAUGUUAUAAGAUGGGCUACAGUCAACACCACUGUGUGCCUGUCGAGUACUUACUAUUGUACUUACUAUUGCUAGGCUAGAGUUCUGCUGGGUCAAAGGCCAUGCAAUUUUGGAAUUUUAGAGUUCACUAGAUUGCUUUCCAAAAGAAUGAGCAACUCACACUUCCUGAUAGUUCUUUGAGAAACUCACUUCUACAUAGCUUAAGUGUUGUGGGAGGGGGAGGAGGGAGGAUCAAUGAAUUGAGUAGACAGAAGUCUUAAGUAUAAAGAGUUGGCAGUUUUCAUGUAACGUGCUGUCAGAAGAAAGUCCUUCUGACUGGAAUAUUUCAUUCUCCCUUUAAAACACUGCAAACGACCACUUCAUUUCACAAAAGGGAGAUAGGAUUUAUAAGGAGACCUCCACCUGGUCCUGGGACUAGGACAAUAAUGACCAGAGGGACAGCCGUCUGGGGGUGGGGUAGGCUACAGCACACGUUGCAAUAGAUUGAUGGUCACAAGAGAUGAAAGCAAUGAAACUUCCCAGGGGGCAUUGGAGUUGCUUUGGCCUCACCCACAGAGACAGAAGUGUCUGGGACUUUAUGUUCUAGGGCAGCCCCCCAUGCAGUGACUGACUGGUGGGGACAAUAGAAGCUCAGGUCCCUUGCUGGGAAUCAAGACCUAUUAAGAGGCUACACUGUGCCCCACAGCACCCUGCAGGAUCAGGCUCAGGCUGGGAUUUGCCUGAAAUCAUACCCUUGCUGGAAUUCUACCCUUUCCUAUCCUGCUUCCCCUCUCCCUUCCCAGUUCCUCCUGGAGACAAUCCAUUGAUAAUUCCCUGGCACACAACUCCUUGUCUCAAGGUCUGCUUCUGGGAGAACUGGAGGGAUGAUGACAGUGUCAGGAAUGCUCUCUUUAGGGGAGACACCUUCAUUCAGCAGUCAUUCAACAGAAGAGUCAAGGGAACCUCAAACUCCCCUCUACAGCUGCAGGGGAAUCAGCUUCCCAAAGGGGUUUUCCAUUGGGGAACAGGAACCUUAGAUGCAAGGGGAUGAGAAUGGGGAGCAUACAGGUUCUAAGCAGCAGCCUGAAGAGAUAGUUACCACCCACCCACCAUUUACUAGCUCUACAAUCAUGCAAAACCUUAUUCUCUAUAACCUGCAAUUUCCCACCUUAAAAAUAGAAUAAGCAGCACCUGUCAUGAAGAAUUAAGAAUGCACUUCGUACUUGUUUCUAUGGUGUGUGCUUUGGCAGAAGAUGUGGGAUCAGAUCAUUCCAUCAUUCACUGUCCCCAAGUGGGGACAACUUCACCCCCUCAGGACUGUCAUGAAGAUUACUCAGAGGAUCAGGUUCACAGCCUUGCAGAGAGUAGGUGCCCAGAUGAGCCAUCACCCACGCUCAGAAUCAUAACAGUAGAAGUACCCUAGAUGCUGGACCAGGAGAGAAAUAGACAAUUUGUUUAAAAAUUCAGUAAGAGCAUUUUCAUUAUGCAAAUAAUUACAUAAUUGAAAUGUAUAAAGGGCAAAGAAAUAAAGCCAAAGUAUCUCUUGACUCUUCCCCAAAGACUGUCACCAGUUCUCCAGUUUUUUUCAAUGCAUUUUUAUAUUUCAAAUAUAUACACCUAGACAGCCUCAGAGGCAUGAUUUUUGAAAGAGGAUCAUUUUCAAAAUAUUUAGAAUUACAGGUAUUUUUAAUGUAGUGCAUCUCAGAAUAGGGUGAACAUUUCCAGCUUCAGUGUAUCUGGCUUAGUUAGCAUGCUCCUCUUGUAGGAUACCAUUCAGUGUUUAUUUAAUCACUCCUUGAUGGACACGUAGGUGGCUGCCAACUCUCCCUAUUAGUCAUCCUGCACAUAAACAUCUUUGUGCUUGUUUUGUGCAUGUGUAGGUUUUUAUGUGAUGCAUCUGUCAACUUCCCAAAGAAACUACUGGAGAAAAACCCUACAUUAAAGUUCAGACUCAUUGCAGUAAAGGAGAACCCCUGAUAGUUUGAGUCUUCUCAGGUCAAAGCUUCCAUCUCUCCCUGUUUCAUGAACUUAACUUCUGAGGAGUACUGGUCAGGUGUUCUGUAGGAUGUCCACCUGCUGUUGGUCUGAUGCUUUUCACAUGAGGAUUCUGGGGUGAUGCUUCCCAAGAAGAAGACCUGAGGUGAAGCAUCUUUCUCGUCUCCCAGCCUCCUGCCUCCCAAAUGGUAUUGACCUUGAUCACUCAGCUAAGGUGGCAGCUGCCAGAUUGCUCCAUUGUAGAGCUAUAAUUUUCAUCCUUUUCUUAUUUUUAGGGAGGUGGGGAGGAGAGAAAAGGAAUAUUAAGCUCCACCUCCUGGAUGGGGUUGUAUUGACUUAUGUUAUUUGGGUUUCUUCUGUAAGGAAGAUUUGUCUCUUUCCCCCCUUAAUUCCUUUGGUAAAAAUAAUUUCUCAACAUCUGCUAAAUAGCUUUCUCCAAGAUGGAUGAAGACAUGCUCCAUCAAUUGGUACUUGCCUCAAAGUCGAGUUUUAUUCAAGUUAAACUGAAGUCACUGCAAAUUCAAGCAAGAUCCCAAUAUCGACUAAGUUCCUUCUCAGAAGUCCUCCCCCAGGGUCAGGCAGAGGGGGAACUGGGUGGUGUUUCAGAUGUGGCUUUUCAAGCUGUGGCCAGAUUGGCAGCAUCAGCAUCACCUGUUGCCUUGAAAACUGCUUGAUAUGAAUGACUGCAAGAUCUGCUGUUAGUCCCCAGAGCUGCCUUUUACUUCUUUGGAGAAGCUGGGACUGAGGUUGCGUAUUUGGGCAGGGCUCAGCUGUGUGGUUCUUCUACCCUAUGUCACCUGGAGUUAAUGCAUGCUUACAUUUAGCUGGUGAUUCAGAUGGAACACUACGAUGGCCUCUCACCCCCCAGGGUCUCUCUGUAUGUGGCCUCUCAUCAUUGAGCGGUUCAGCUUGGACUUCCUUACAGCAUGGCAUCUGGGCUGCAAGAAGGGAAAGAUGCAGCUGCAAACCUUAAGGGCUGAAGUCUCAAGACAUCACCUCCACUACAAUCUAUUGGCUAAAGCAAAUCCCAGGGCCAGUCCAGACUCAGGAGUAGGAGAAAAUAUUAAUAACGCCUCUUGCUAUGAAGAGUGGCAAGUGUAUACAGGGAGGAGAGGAAGUGCCGGUGGCCAUUUUUGGAAACCAUUAACAUAUAAUUGCAGAUAGUGAUACACUCAGCAAUGAAUAUUAAGCCUAGUAAAGGGAAAGUCUAGAAGGGCUUUCAGGAGGAUUUAUCUUCUGGGCCGGAUCCUGCCUAGGAAAGGCUCAUGCAUCCUUCCUACAAAAGAGGCACUGACACUUCUGAUUAAGGUAGGAUAAGCUGUCACUUGUUGGUAAAGUUUCUACCAGUCUCUAACCCAUUGAAGGAGAAUAUUUUGCUUUCUUCUCUCAGAUCUUGUGGAUGUGCUGUGGAAAUGGAGAACCUUAACCAUUGCAUAGAAUGGACUUGGGGCAAGUUCCUGAGCUAUAAGUUACAUAGCUCAGAAGUAGCAGAGCCAGGAUCCAACACCUGUUUUGCCAUACAUCAAAUGGGGACAAUAGAAGUAACUGAUAUUAACCUAGGGCUGAAAUAAGGCAUGUCUGCUGCUUGGUGGUUGCAGUCACAGUCACAGGAAGUUUUAAAGGCACUGUAGCCAAGAGUUUGGCUUCCUCCUCACAGGUCUCUUGGGGUGGCCCUGUCCUCCCUCUUGUUUCCUUGGCACAGCAGGGUCUAGACCCUCUACUCAGCCAUACACAGGAGCCAGGCUGCUGGAAAACAUACCCCCAGCCCCAACUGCUUUGUCCAGUCUUGGGGGAGGUGGGAAAUGUACACACCUAGAAGUGAUGAUGGUAUUUCUCCUGCAGGUUCCCAUGAAAAGCAGCAUCCCAGUGAAGUCAAAGCCCUGGAACCAUCCUCUUCAUCUGUGUUGCUGCUGAGAGAUCAGAAGUCUACCUCUGGAGAUAGAAUCCUUGUCUGCUGCUGGGAUGGAGGGAAGUGCUAACAUUCCACUAGAAAGUGGGUUCUUCCAUGGAGGGACAGAAUUUGAUUCUUGCUGCUUAUACAAAGUAGGUGUUCACAAGGCACUUGUGAACAGCUAGCUCUGCAGAACAAGUCUCCAUCAUCUCGUUGCAGGCUGCUUACCUGCUGGGAGUGGCAUCCUGGGGCCUUCCUCUCUGGCCACCCUAGACUUUGGUUUUAAUUGCUCCUGAGUCUCCCUUCUUCCUGCCGGCUGGCCCUGCGGUCUGUCACCUACGGGACGGCCAACGUCAGAGCUGGGUGACCUUUCAAAGACACCAGGAUUUGUUUAAUUUUCAGAAUUCACCUCUCUUCAUCCUUUUUAUCAGAGGCAGUUAGGGCCCAGCUGGGGAGGCUAUUUGGCAUUUUUCCCUGUAUUUUGAAACAGGUGGGCUGGGGCCUUCUCAAGUGGAGUCUUUUCAACUGAGAGAACUAGAAAGACAGACAAUGAUAGAAUGGGGUGGGGGUGGAGUAGAAUUACCAAGAGAACCAAACAUACAUUAAGUUAUUUUAACACCUGACUCAUUUUCAUGAAAGUCUUCAUUACUGCAUCUUCUGUCUCCAAGGUUUUCUACACACAUAAUUGCAGCUUGUGUUUACAAAGUCAUUACCACAUGCCAAGCACGUCACAUGUCUCGCUUCAUGUAACCUUCACAGCAGCACCUUGAGGUUCUGUUAUCUCCGUUUUACAGGUAGGUAAGGUUAGUUAUUGCCCAAAGCCAUACAGUGUGUUGAGGGGCCAGAGUUUAAACACAGCUCUGUAGACUCAGUCUGUCCACGAAGCAAGAGUAUGUGCAAACCUCACCUGAUCCUCACAAUAACCUUGGAAAAGAAAUGUAUCCUCCCAUCUGAUAGAGUCCGAGUAGUCUCAGCUGCUAUAAUUGUUAUUCCUUCUGUGCUCAACAUUUGUUGGCUGGGUGACUUGAAAGCUGAAGUGAGAAAAACAGUACCUGGAACAUGGAGUAAAAACCCUUUAACAUAUGGGAAUCUACUAAACCCCAUCAGGUCAGUGAAAUAGGUACUAUUAUCACCAUUUUACAGGAGAAAAAA
rnacentral:lncRNA from 1 species